UACGUAGGGCGCAAGCGUUGUCCGGAAUUAUUGGGCGUAAAGAGCUCGUAGGCGGCCUGUUACGUCUGCUGUGAAAUCCCGGGGCUUAACCCCGGGCGUGCAGUGGAUACGGGCAGGCUGGAGGCAGGCAGGGGAGAACGGAAUUCCCGGUGUAGCGGUGAAAUGCGCAGAGUAUCGGGAGGAACACCGGUGGCGAAGGCGGUUCUCUGGGCCUGUACUGACGCUGAGGAGCGA
rnacentral:rRNA from 1 species